GCAAACAAAGGAACUCUGCUUUGCUUAAGUGGAAGCAAAUGCUUCCAGGUUCUUCCUCGUGGCCACUCUGGAGGAGAAAAGGGGAGAGGGAGCAUGGGAGCCCAAAACUAUUGGUUCAUAAUUCAGUGCUGCAUCAAAGCCCAGUCUAUGCCUUGUAGGACGGCCUAAGUUUUGUUCCAUUUCUUUCAGUGUCUACGUAACCCUCCAGAAAUCUGCUGUAUCAUUAAAGCUUCACCAGGAUCUAGACCACUGAAAGUUCUCCAACACCCACUGAAAAGAAAAAGAGAGUUUCCCCCACCAGGAGCAACUGAAGAUGUUAUUACCAGUUCAAAAUACUAGAUCUACAGGAACAAUAGAGAAAAAAACGGGAAAUUGAGACCAUGGAAUGUUAGGAAGAAGCUGAGCUGCACGUUUGGACUUUCAUUAAGUUUUGAAAGUUAAUGACACCUUCAAAAGAGA